CUUCAUCCUCAUUUUCGUAAGACUACCCGCUGAACUUAAGCAUAUCAAUAAGCGGAGGA
rnacentral:rRNA from 1 species